AGCCAAAGAAUCAGAAACUCAUUUCAGUUUUUCCAUUUCGCUCUCUAGAAUAGAAGUUCCAUGCCCUAAACCAGUUUCUCUGACUUCUCUCUAGGUUUUCUGCAAAUUCCACCGAUUGAAUCCUAAUUUCUUGGUGUUUCUACGUUCCUGGAGUCUAGAGCUACAAAACCAUCCGAUUGGUUUUGCAUUUCGUUAGGUGUUGUUGAAGUUAUGUCCUGUGAGGACACUGUUAGGAAGUCUCCAUUUAGCUGUACUGUAGCGUGGUUCCAGAGGAGAAUGAGCCCACUUUGGAGGAUGUCCUGGAAGAUUCUGAAAACACAGAUGCUGCUACCUAGACCUUUAGGGAUUUUAUUUUGCUCUUCCUAUGUUCUGUAUUUUUGAAAUACUUAGAGUUCCUUCCAAGUUUUAAAUUUCCUCUUGUUUCUGGAUUACUGUAAUCACAACCUGAUUAACUUUCCUACUCUUAAACUGCUCUCUUUUAUUAUCUAUGUGGACAUCUUGAUUUUUAUA